CCGCGGUAAUACGUAGGGUGCGAGCGUUAUCCGGAAUUAUUGGGCGUAAAGAGCUCGUAGGCGGUUUGUCGCGUCUGUCGUGAAAGUCCGGGGCUUAACCCCGGAUCUGCGGUGGGUACGGGCAGACUAGAGUGCAGUAGGGGAGACUGGAAUUCCUGGUGUAGCGGUGGAAUGCGCAGAUAUCAGGAGGAACACCGAUGGCGAAGGCAGGUCUCUGGGCUGUAACUGACGCUGAGGAGCGAAAGCAUGGGGAGCGAACAGGAUUAGAUACCCUGGUAGUCCAUGCCGUAAACGUUGGGCACUAGGUGUGGGGACCAUUCCACGGUUUCCGCGCCGCAGCUAACGCAUUAAGUGCCCCGCCUGGGGAGUACGGCCGCAAGGCUAAAACUCAAAGGAAUUGACGGGGGCCCGCACAAGCGGCGGAGCAUGCGGAUUAAUUCGAUGCAACGCGAAGAACCUUACCAAGGCUUGACAUGUUCUCGAUCGCCGUAGAGAUACGGUUUCCCCUUUGGGGCGGGUUCACAGGUGGUGCAUGGUUGUCGUCAGCUCGUGUCGUGAGAUGUUGGGUUAAGUCCCGCAACGAGCGCAACCCUCGUUCCAUGUUGCCAGCACGUAAUGGUGGGGACUCAUGGGAGACUGCCGGGGUCA
rnacentral:rRNA from 1 species